rnacentral:lncRNA from 1 species
UUAUUUUAGGCUUUAAGCAAUCCUUUGAGGUGCCAAUCCUUAUAGUCAUAUUAUAGGUGAGGAAAUGGGCUCAGUAAAAUAUCCUAUCUGCCCAAGACUUCACUGUAGCAGAACAACUCUAAAUAUACCAUUUUUCUCAUAGCAUACAGCUACCAAUAAAACAUGGCGAACUGCAGUUGAUUUGUCUGAUUAAGUUUGACACAGAAAGGAGGAAAAUAAAUAAGUGCUCUGCAGAACGUAAAUUAAAACCACUCACCUAAGGCAGCUGGCCACAGCAGCACAGAAGGAGUUUUUAGAGAAAGAGAUUCUAAUAAAGGAAUUUGAAAAUUAAUAGAGAGUAGGAAGAGAAGUUACCGGAGAGGAUAGUGCCAUACUAGAUAACAAAAUAAAGAGCUAAAAACACAGGAGAGAGCAGCACAAAGCCUCAAGAUCCUCAAAAGAGUUGAGCAAGAUGAAUGCUGAGACUUGUCCCCUGGAUUGGGAAAUAGCAGGACACGGAUGCCAUUUUUGCAGGGUGGCUUGAUGGAGUAAAUGAAGGGAGGCGGUCAGACUGAAAUGGAGUGGAUUCACAGUUUAGAGUUUUCUUUCUAGAAGCUCAGCAGAGAAAGAAAAGAAACAGAAGAAAUAGAAGAGAAUGUUUUGACAGGACACUUUAAUCGCAGAAGUUUAUGGUGGGAAGCCGAGAGCACCUUGCUGGGGAGACGGGAACCUUGCAAUCAGGUCAUGGAAAGGGAACGAGGUGUGAAUGGAAGGAUCUGAAGCUGAUCUCCUAA